UACGGAGGGUGCGAGCGUUGUUCGGAAUCACUGGGCGUAAAGCGCGUGUAGGCGGCCCGCUAAGUCUGAUGUGAAAGCCCGAGGCUCACCCUCGGAAGUGCAUUGGAAACUGGCGGACUGGAGUCCCGGAGAGGAGGGUGGAAUUCCUGGUGUAGCGGUGAAAUGCGUAGAUAUCAGGAGGAACACCGGUGGCGAAGGCGGCCCUCUGGUUGGAUACUGACGCUGAGACGCGAAAGCGUGGGGAGCAAACAGG
rnacentral:rRNA from 1 species